rnacentral:rRNA from 1 species
UUGACCUCGGAUCAGGUAGGAAUACCCGCUGAACUUAAGCAUAUCAAUAAGCGAGAA